rnacentral:rRNA from 1 species
GGAAUAUUGCACAAUGGGCGAAAGCCUUAUGCAGCGACGCCGCGUGAGUGAAGAAGUAUUUCUGUAUGUAAAGCUCUAUCAGCAGGGAAGAAAAUGACUGUACCUGACUAAUAAGCCCCGGCUAACUACCUGCCAGCAGCCGCGGUAAUACGUAGGGGGCAAUCGUUAUCCGGAUUUACUGGGUGUAAAGGGAGCGUAGACGGCGAAGCAAGUCUGAAGUGAAAACCCAGGGCUCAACCCUGGGACUGCUUUGGAAACUGUUUUGCUAGAGUGUCGGAGAGGUAAGUGGAAUUCCUAGUGUAGCGGUGAAAUGCGUAGAUAUUAGGAGGAACACCAGUGGCGAAGGCGGCUUACUGGACGAUAACUGACGUUGAGGCUCGAAAGCGUGGGGAGCAAACA